rnacentral:rRNA from 1 species
ACAGGAUUCCCCUAGUAACGGCGAGUGAAGCGGGAAGAGCUCAAGCUUAAAAUCUCCGCGCAAGUUUUGCGCGGCGAAUUGUAGUCUAUAGAGGCGUGGUCAGCGUGGGCGCUUGGGGCAAGUUCCUUGGAAGAGGACAGCAUGGAGGGUGAUACUCCCGUUCAUCCCUGAGUGGCUCGCGCGUACGACCCGUGUUCUUUGAGUCGCGUUGUUUGGGAAUGCAGCGCAAAGUAGGUGGUAAAUUCCAUCUAAAGCUAAAUAUUGGUGCGAGACCGAUAGCGAACAAGUACCGUGAGGGAAAGAUGAAAAGAACUUUGAAAAGAGAGUUAAAGAGUACCUGAAACUGCUGAAAGGGAACCGAAUCGUUUCCAGUGUCUAUAAUCUGUGGCAUAUUUCAUUGGCGAGUGUGUGCGCGCGUGCGCUGUGGCAGCGGCUUUUUUGGCUGCGCUCGGUGCGUGUGUUGUGUGUGCUUGCUGGUGCCCUGUGCUGCGGUGGGACGUCAAGGUCAGUUCGUAUGCUGCGGGAAAUGGCUACCGAGGAGGUAGGGCUUACGCUCUGCGUUUGUCUAUUAUAUCUUGGUGGACGAGUCGUCGCGGUUGGGACUGAGGUGCCUACAACGUGCUUUUGAGUGGGUGUGUGUCUCCGUGUGCGCCGUGUGCGGAUAGCUUGCUAUGCGUGUGUGGUUGUGUGUGGAUUGAUGCGUGCCUUAACUUGUCGCCGUUCGGGACGUUGACGAAAUGGAGCGAUCCGACCCGUCUUGAAACACGGACCAAGGAGUCUAACAUGUGUGCAAGUGUUAGGGUGUGGAAACCCCAGCGCGAAAUGAAAGUGAAGGGCAGCGCAAGUUGUCUGAGGUAGGAAAUGUUGCGGGCUUCGGUCUGCGGCGUGGCACUAUCGACCGAUCAUGAACCUUCGUGGUGAAAGAUUUGAGUUUGAGCACAUAUGUUGGUACCCGAAAGAUGGUGAACUAUGCCUGAGUAGGGUGAAGCCAGGGAAACUCUG